AUAAAUAUUAAGAGCGUAUGAAAAUCCCCCAAAGCUUCUUCUUCGACAAUACCAUACAUUUAUUUACACCGAACAGAGUGAAAACCACGAGAAUGUACACCAUGUCUGGCAUUGCCCUUGGUAUUUGUCUUGUGUCUAUUUGUACGAUAGUGCAGGGAGAUGGUAAUUGUUCUACUUCAAAAAUAGAGUCCUGUAACUCAGCAUACAUGAGCUCAAUAACACAGGCAGUGCAAGACAUGGCGAAAGUUUGCAGUGCAGUUGAAACCUUUAUAGACUGUUUGGAUAAAGCUUUCACAGACUGCAAUAUGGAUGCAGGUACGACCAUUACGGAAGCCAGGAAGGCUAUUUACCAUUACGGUUGUGGUGCUGGAAGUCUUGUGGUCAACUUGGUAACCUUGAGUUUAGGACUUGCAUUUUAUAAACUGUUUUAGAUGUUGUACUUUAAUAAAAAAAAAAAAAAAGAACAAAGACAAUCAUGGCGACAAGAAUGAUUAGACUAAUAUCAAUUAUUAUUUUAAAACAAACGAAAAUAGAUUUAACAAAAUAUCACAUGAUACGUUUGAUUCAAUAGAUUCAUAGUCAAUAUGAAAGCUAAUGAAAUAACACAUGGAUUCACUAGUCUGCAUCCAUUAGUUAUAGGUUGCACUUUGUAAAUACAGCUGUUUCACAAGUCACCUCUUUUGGGGAGAUAUAUAAUAUUCAUAGAUAUGUUAAUUUGUUAACGUACUAGUUCCCAGAUAUGAUCUCUGUGUUUCAUCUCAUAAAGACAUAACUUGGGAAUGUUACCAGUAUAGAAAAACAUGGUAGCGCCUAUAAUUUAAUUCUUAGGAGGUCCAAAAAUGGAGGUAGGGCUAGUAUAGAAUUUUAGUAUAAGUUUAAACUCUUAGAAGUUUAGGGCAUAUAAAUGUUGAAAAUAUGCCGCACAGCCCUAUAUUUUGACCUUUGAAUAAAAUAGUAGUGCAUAUCAACUUUCCGUUCUGGGAUAUAAUUUUUCACGAACCUUCACAGUUAAAGUGGCACAGUUUUAGCCGCAAAGGGAGUUCAAAUGGGAAAUUGCAUGGUCUAUAUUUACAGAAUUGCAACCUAUAAUGAUUAUUUAAUUUUGAAUGUAGUACGUGCAUAUUUAAUCAUAUAUAUGUGACACUCUUAACUGUUUCGACCCCCUUAAUCAUUUCCGCCAAGCAGAAACUUGUUCAUUUUGCUCUAUUGUCUUCUUAAAAUCACAAAUAUCCCAAACAUGUCAAAUUUCAUAUUAUCCAAAUGUUUCUGCUUAUUUUCUCCACUCAAACGUGUUCUAUUUUGACCUCGCCAAAUCGUAAACAACAAUUUUAUCCGCCAAAACGUGUUCAUUUUUAGACAUCAGAACGUCUCAUUUUUUUUAGCGCUUAUAUGUCUUCUGACACGUCAAUAAUGUCAAAACAUGAGGGACUCGAUUGAAAACAUCAGGUGUUUUAAAUUUACUAAAGUCCAAAGCCUAAAAAUUCUAGACCUGCUAUCCAAUGAAAUCGAUACAGAGCAAGUUUGGGUUCAGCGUCCGGAAAUUAAAGGAGGUACUGAUUACCAAAAAUAAAAUCCACGAAGGCGACCUCUAAAGAUUCCAGAGACGGUAAUAAAAGUCGCGGAAGGGAUAUAAAAACAAAUGCAAAUAAUUUCUUAACAAGGAAUCUCGACGCAAUGAAAAUCUUAAAGUUAGUCAAAGAAAAUGUUUACAAAGGAAAAAAUAAUAGCCCAACUUAAAAAAAACCUACAAUGUUUAUUUGUUUGCGUCUUCAUUAUGCCAAAACUAUUUGUCGCUGGAAGUAAGCAAUCAAAUUAAUUUUCGAAAUACUAAGGCAAUUCUACCUCAGGAAUAGAUUGCGUUAGCUGUAUUUGGCAAAACAUUUAGGAAUUUUGGGUCAUCAAUGCUUUUCAACCUAUUUUUUUUUUGCCCUUUUGAACUCGUUUUAUUCGAGUGUCCCUGAUGAGUUUUUUGUAGACGUAACGCGCUUCUGGUGUACACAAUUUCAAUCCUGGUAUCUAUGAUGAAUUUAUCUAUCAUAUCGACAACCAUAACUUUCUAUGAUUUGUAGCUCAACUGGCCUUAAAGGUCAAGUGAUAUUUUGUCAUCGCGUGGUCCUUCGUCCGUCGUCACCAGUCGUCGUCGUUAACUUUUACAAAAAUCUUGUUGAAGAGCUAUAUGACCAAAAAGACCAAAUAUAAUAGCCAAAUUAUCGAGGGCGUUGAAACCUGGUCUUUUCUAACAAUUUCUAAAUUUUUAAACGGACAAUUAAAGAAAGGUUUGUUAUAAAUCAUGUCAAUACCACAGUUCGAACUACUGAGUUGAUGAUAACAUCAUAGACUGACAGUCCACUAACAGCGGUAUUGACUCAGUGCUACAAAAAAAAUGAAAACAGCACAUUGUAAAUUUCAUGCGUCCGAAAGCGCUUUUCUGGAUUUACAUUCAUCAGAAACGCUCAAAGCCGAACACUUUAGUGUCAAGGAUGUAUGAGAAUCGAAACAGUUGAAGAGAUAUAUGACCACAAAGGACCUAAAAAUAUAUGCUAAAUACACUGAAGUUCAACUCUGGCUGAUCUAAAGAUAAGAAUUUGAAAUAGAAAAACUGUUUUUUUAACUUCUAUAUUUCAAUAAUCUAUUAAACUUGGCGUAUUUGAUUUAGAGCCAUUCGAAAUUGCAAUUAAUGGUUGUAUUAUUUUAAGUCAUUGCUGUAGUAAAUAUUUUGUGAAAAAAUGCUAUAAACCAGGAAUCAUAUCAUAUUCUUUUUAUACUUACAUUUCUUUUGGCGUUUAGAGUUGAAUAAACCGGACAUUUGCUUACACUGCAUUUUCUUUGACAUUGUUUCAUCGUUCUGAAACAGGUCACAUUCCGGUCUCGGUUUCAGUGAAUUUUAUUUUGCUUUAUCAAUUACACGAAUAGGAAAAAGUAAAAUAAUAAAAAUAUCGAACUCCAUGGAAAAUUCAUAACAAAAAGUGCAUUAUCAAAUGGCUAAAUUAAAAGCUCAAACACAUCAAACAAAUGGAAAACAAAUGUCAUAUUCCUGCAUUUCCAUAGGUAGAAACCGGUGGAUUAAGACUUUUAUUCAAAUAUUCCAGUCAAAUUCUACGACGCUCUCAGAUGAAACAAAAUUCAGAUUUACCUAAAGAAAAAACGAAACUUUUCCUCUGAAUGGACGUUUUCCUCUGAGCAGAAAUAUUGUGUUCAUUUUACUAUUGAAAAAUGGAAUAGGAUGUCUAUAUUGUACAUUCAUUUUGUUCAAAGUAAUAUAAUAUCUAAUAAUUUCUUUGAACAUCUGUGACAUUUUCAAAACAUAUUUUGUAUAUGGAAAGAAUAAUUUUUACCGCUAAAUCCUUUUGCUGGGGUAGAGUGCAUAAUGGCUUCUUUGAAAGGGACCUCCGUGGCCCAGUGAUCUAAGUAGUUCAUCUAAUGUAUCACUAGCAUGUCAACACUGAGGAUGUGAGUUUGAACAUAGCACGUAAAGGAUACGUUCAACUUCAAUCUUUAUUGACUAGGAUUGUCAGUUUACCUGCCUAAGUUUGGUGUGUCUCAAAAAUAACAACUGACCAUCAAGAUAAAGCCAAUAGUACUCAAAGUGGCGUUAAGCAAUCAAUCAAUUUGGAAAUAAAGUAAAAUAACGACAAAACUGAUCUCCAAGGAAAAUUCAAAUCGGAAAGUUCCUUAUCAAAUGGCAAUAUCAAAAGCUCAAGCACAUCAAAAGAAUGGAAAACAACUGUCAUAUUCUUGACUUGGUACAGGCAUUUUCUUAUGUAGAAAAUGGUGGAUUACACCUGGUUUUAUAGCUAGCUAAACCUCUCACUUGUAUAACAGUCGCAUAAAAUUCUAUUAUAUUGACAUCGAUGUGUGUAAAAAUGAUCCUUCUACGCGAAAAGUCAUGAUAUAUCGGAUAUCUAAACCUAAAACUAGCGAAUACUUGGCCUUUUCUCAAAAUUUAAGAUAAAAGCUUUCUCUAUUUUUUCUCUCUUUAAUAUUAACUAUCUAAUGUCUUUUUGUUUCAUCAACAUGUUUUAAUGUACUAGGUGACUAUAAUUGUUGUAUUUACAGUAAAAGCUAUAUUUUUUUUU